UACAGAGGAUGCAAGCGUUAUCCGGAAUGAUUGGGCGUAAAGCGUCUGUAGGUGGCUUUUAAGUCCGCCGUCAAAUCCCAGGGCUCAACUCUGGACAGGCGGUGGAACUACCAAGCUUGAGUACGGUAGGGGCAGAGGGAAUUCCGGUGGAGCGUGGAAUGCGUAGAGAUCGGAAAGAACACCAACGGCGAAAGCACUCUGCUGGGCCGACACUGACACUGAGAGCACGAAAGCUAGGGGAGCGAAUGGG
rnacentral:rRNA from 1 species